GCCUCCGCUCCAAGAUCGAGGAACUGCUCUUCCUGGCCGCUCGCCUCUGCUCCAUCCUGGCCGCCUCGCAUCCGCCUCCAGCCCAAAGUCUGGCAUCAAGGGAGACAUGAAGCUGAGGGUGGUCGUCAUGGACAGCGAGGCUGCGGCGGUGACGGCGACGGAGAGGAGCACCGCCAAGGAGAAGCUCUAGGAACCUUGAAGAAAAUAAACUAGCAACUUAGGGAACAGAUAUUCCUUAGGAUCUUGUUCCCGACAGAAGUUGCUUCAGGAAUCCCUAAAGAAGGAGCGCCAGCUAAGAUGCAGAACAGCUGCGGCCAGCGUCGAUGUGUUCGCGUUCGAAGACCUAACGGCUGCAGAGCGGAAGCGGUUGACGGAGGGAGCGGUGGACGGUGAGG